UUGGUCAAUGAGAAAGUCCUAGGGGUGG
rnacentral:piRNA from 1 species